AACACGUGAGUAACCUGCCCUUAACUCUGGGAUAAGCCUGGGAAACUGGGUCUAAUACCGGAUAUGACUCCUCAUCGCAUGGUGGGGGGUGGAAAGCUUUUUGUGGUUUUGGAUGGACUCGCGGCCUAUCAGCUUGUUGGUGAGGUAAUGGCUUACCAAGGCGACGACGGGUAGCCGGCCUGAGAGGGUGACCGGCCACACUGGGACUGAGACACGGCCCAGACUCCUACGGGAGGCAGCAGUGGGGAAUAUUGCACAAUGGGCGAAAGCCUGAUGCAGCGACGCCGCGUGAGGGAUGACGGCCUUCGGGUUGUAAACCUCUUUCAGUAGGGAAGAAGCGAAAGUGACGGUACCUGCAGAAGAAGCGCCGGCUAACUACGUGCCAGCAGCCGCGGUAAUACGUAGGGCGCAAGCGUUAUCCGGAAUUAUUGGGCGUAAAGAGCUCGUAGGCGGUUUGUCGCGUCUGCCGUGAAAGUCCGGGGCUCAACUCCGGAUCUGCGGUGGGUACGGGCAGACUAGAGUGAUGUAGGGGAGACUGGAAUUCCUGGUGUAGCGGUGAAAUGCGCAGAUAUCAGGAGGAACACCGAUGGCGAAGGCAGGUCUCUGGGCAUUAACUGACGCUGAGGAGCGAAAGCAUGGGGAGCGAACAGGAUUAGAUACCCUGGUAGUCCAUGCCGUAAACGUUGGGCACUAGGUG
rnacentral:rRNA from 1 species